rnacentral:tRNA from 1 species
AGGAGUUUAAGUUAAAGCUAGACUGAGGGCCUUCAAAGCCCUAAGUGAAGGUUAAAAUCCCUCAACUCCUG